rfam:Gelidibacter algens strain ACAM 536 contig00112, whole genome shotgun sequence.
AAUUGAGAGGAAAGAUUUGACUGAUUGCAACCUCUUCUGAAUCGGAAACUCCGAGGAUGAGAUCCCGUAUCAUAGACGGGAUGAAAAAUGCUAAAGGCAGUGCA